rnacentral:snoRNA from 2 species
AGUCCAUGAUGAGGACGUCUUCUCAAUAAAUCAUUAAAUCUCUCUAAUGUAUCAUAAAGUGUUUCAAUAUUAAACUGAACAAAAGAAGAGAUGUCGUUCCUCAACUU